CAGCCGCCACGGGAACACGGAGGGUGCAAGCGUUAAUCGGAAUUACUGGGCGUAAAGCGCACGCAGGCGGUCUGACAAGUCAGAUGUGAAAUCCCCGGGCUUAACCUGGGAACUGCAUUUGAAACUGUCAGGCUGGAGUCUUGUAGAGGGGGGUGGAAUUCCAGGUGUAGCGGUGAAAUGCGUAGAGAUCUGGAGGAAUACCGGUGGCGAAGGCGGCCCCCUGGACAAAGACUGACGCUCAGGUGCGAAAGCGUGGGGAGCAAACAGGAUUAGAGACCCGUGUAGUCCCUGUCUCUUAUAC
rnacentral:rRNA from 1 species